rnacentral:rRNA from 1 species
GACGAACGCUGGCGGCGUGCCUAAUACAUGCAAGUCGAGCGCAGGAAACUGACGGAACUCUUCGGAGGGAAGGCAGUGGAAUGAGCGGCGGACGGGUGAGUAACACGUAAGGAACCUGCCUCAAGGAUUGGGAUAACUCCGAGAAAUCGGAGCUAAUACCGGAUAGUUCAACGGACCGCAUGGUCCGCUGAUGAAAGGCGCUUCGGCGUCACCUUGAGAUGGCCUUGCGGUGCAUUAGCUAGUUGGUGGGGUAACGGCCCACCAAGGCGACGAUGCAUAGCCGACCUGAGAGGGUGAUCGGCCACACUGGGACUGAGAAACGGCCCAGACUCCUGCGGGAGGCAGCAGUAGGGAAUCUUCCACAGUGGACGAAAGUCUGAUGGAGCAACGCCGCGUGAGUGAUGAAGGUUUUCGGAUCGUAAAACUCUGUUGUAAGGGAAGAACACGUACGAGAGGGAAUGCUCGUACCUUGACGGUACCUUACGAGAAAGCCACGGCUAACUACGUGCCAGCAGCCGCAGUAA